UCGAAAUUUUGUUCCGUUUUGGUCGCGGAUCGCUUUGCUGACUCUUUGUCUGCGCGCUUCAGCUUUAACCUCAUCCCACCGUGCCAGACAAACUUCUCUUUCAUCUCCUCGCCUAUUUUUAUUUACUUUACAUUCAUUCGAUCGUAUAUGCGUAAUAAAAUCUACUUACUUUAACGCGUUAAGAGCCGAUUUCUUCUGCCUCUGACUGGGGCGUGGCAGCUCAGGGCUACAGGGUGCAGUGAAAACGUCUCCCGACCGGGAGGCUCCGGGGAGGGGAUCAGCCGCCAGUAACACUCAGAAACACUGAGCGGUGGAAACGACCUUUACGCACCGGUGAUAAAAUAGGAUCUUUGGAUAAUUCAAAGCACUUCGUUAUAUUCUUUUACAAAAUCUUAAAAGACAAUCUUUCAGCAGUUUAUUAGAAUGAAGCGACACUUCAUGGAGCGAUUUCAGUUUACUGGAAACAAAAUAAGCUGUGAUGUGUAAGAAAUGCUUUGUGGUGCUUUACUGGAGGAGCAGGGAGAGGGAGGAGAAGAGUGCACGACUGGUUUAGUUUGCUUUAAGAGGAGAUUACUGCGCAUGAGUGACACACUGUGCUCUUCAUUAAGAUCAACUGAAGGUGUACCCGGGGGUCCGGGUGAAGAUCACGGUCAAGGAGUUGCUGCGGAGGCACAGAGAGAAGGAGGCCAACAACAAGAAGCUUAAUGCGGUGGCCAUGUGGCUCCUCCUCCCUCUGUCCCCCCAGCUGAAGCCAGCAGCUGCGGGUCGCUGGCCCUCCAGCUUCGAGCCACCAUCUCGUUUCCAGUCCCUGACAGCGCGUGCAACAUCCAGAUGCAGGAGUGCGGCAUCCAGGUGCAGCAGCAGCAGCAGUUUGGGGAUGUGAUGUUGCCCGGCAACGGAUACGGUGGUACCACCUACGACACCCCUCUGCCUCCUUUUCCAACCUCCCCUCAGCCUUGGUACCACGGACUGUCCUCAGAUGCGGACUACUACGGCCAGGGGAUGGCCCCUUGCUCCUCAUUGGAGUCACUGACUUUCUGCAACCCUGUGGAUCCCAACACUUAUUCCCCACAGGACUCCUUCUCUUCCUCCUCCUCCUCCUCAUGCUAUGACUCGCCCACCAGAAUGGAGUCAAGCUUCAGCCCACAGCAAUACCACUAUCAGCACUGUGGCCCCCAGGAAUAUUACAGCUUGCCACACUGUUGGUCAGGCCAGCAGGAGAGCCCCCCCACCCCAGAAUGCGCACCUUACUUUGCUCCCACAGACUAUCCCCAGGUGUAUCCUGUAGAAGACAGCUGUUUCCAGAAGGAUUUCCCGCUGAGCUCUGAGAUGUGCUACAAUGCUUUAUGAUGAGACCGUGAACAGUAUUACUUUGUAUCCUGACUGUAAAUACGAUUUGGCUCAGUGAGGUUGUUUGCUUUGCAUUUCACUUGGUCUGCUUUACUUUAAUCAAUUCAUUUGUAAUAAAAACUAAAUGAUAUAUUUUCAUACGCUAAUGUUUUGCUGCACAAAAUAAAAAUGUGUAAAAGUCAGCACUGUGCUUGUAAUGUGCGCUUGUCUAUUGCAGAGUUUCCACUGUAAAAGUCGGGAUGUUUGCUUCAGCCAGCAGGUUCAGACUUCACCCUGUGAACAUGCCCUGUAGCCACAGGUAACAAAUAAAAGUGAAAAAUGUGGGAAGAGUGUGAAAGUAAAUAUCACAGGCUGAUAACAUGUCAGGGCUGAACUCAGCUGUAACGCAACAAUUGGAAAUGAAGGCAAGGAAACGUCUGAGAUUUGACUUUGGCCUGCAGGGCAGUAUUUCACUGGGAGUUCAGAGAUCAAAGGAGAACAGAUUAACAGACAAGCCGACUCACAGUGGCUGCAGCUCAGCUAACAGAGCAGGACGUCUGCUAAUCAGAGGGUUGGUUUGGCUUUUUCAAGAAUGCUUGAGCUCCGAGUUGUCGCGUAAUGCUGGAGUCGCUGUGUGUGAAUGAGACUGGUAUUUAAAAAGUACUUUGACUCCUCAGACAGGUGUCAGUCCAUUUAUCUGAUUUUUUCAACAAACUCUCAAUAAUUUCUCCAGACUGUGAAACAAGCACUGUUGAAGCUGCAACCCCCUCUUAUUAUACUUACAG
ensembl:lncRNA